rnacentral:rRNA from 1 species
UGGGGAAUUUUGCACAAUGGGGGAAACCCUGAUGCAGCGACGCCGCGUGAUUUAGAAGGCCUUCGGGUUGUAAAAAUCUUUUCUAUGGGAAGAAAAUGACAGUACCAUAGGAAUAAGGACCGGCUAAUUACGUGCCAGCAGCCGCGGUAAUACGUAAGGUCCGAGCGUUGUCCGGAAUCAUUGGGCGUAAAGGGUACGUAGGCGGGUAAGCAAGUUAGAAGUGAAAUCCUAUAGCUCAACUAUAGUAAGCUUUUAAAACUGCUCAUCUUGAGGUAUGGAAGGGAAAGUGGAAUUCCUAGUGUAGCGGUGAAAUGCGCAGUUAUUAGGAGGAAUACCGGUGGCGAAGGCGACUUUCUGGCCAUAACCUGACGCUGAGGUACGAAAGCGUGGGUAGCAAACAGG